CAGCCGCCACGGUAAAACGAAGGGUGCAAGCGUUACUCGGAAUUACUGGGCGUAAAGCGUGCGUAGGUGGUGGUUUAAGUCCGUUGUGAAAGCCCUGGGCUCAACCUGGGAAUUGCAGUGGAUACUGGGUCACUAGAGUGUGGUAGAGGAUAGUGGAAUUUCCGGUGUAGCAGUGAAAUGCGUAGAGAUCGGAAGGAACAUCUGUGGCGAAGGCGACUAUCUGGGCCAACACUGACACUGAGGCACGAAAGCGUGGGGAGCAAACAGGAUUAGAUACCCCGGUAGUCCCUGUCUCUUAUAA
rnacentral:rRNA from 1 species